rnacentral:misc_RNA from 1 species
UUUCCGUAGGUGAACCUGCGGAAGGAUCAUUAUUGUAUCGCCGAGGUGCGAGGGCUGUCGCUGACCCGAAAGGUCGUGCACGCCCGAGUGCCCUCACACACAUCCAUCUCACCCCUAUGUGCACCACCGCGUGGGUCCCCCUUUGGCUUGUUCGGAGGGGGGCUUACGUUUUCACACAAACUUUGUAUGCAGUGUAGAAUGUAUUUUUUGUUUUUGCGAUCACGCAAUCAAUACAACUUUCAACAACGGAUCUCUUGGCUCUC